rnacentral:rRNA from 1 species
UACGAAGGGGGCUAGCGUUGCUCGGAAUCACUGGGCGUAAAGCGCACGUAGGCGGAUCUUUAAGUCAGGGGUGAAAUCCUGGAGCUCAACUCCAGAACUGCCUUUGAUACUGAGGACCUCGAGUCCGGGAGAGGUGAGUGGAACUGCGAGUGUAGAGGUGAAAUUCGUAGAUAUUCGCAAGAACACCAGUGGCGAAGGCGGCUCACUGGCCCGGUACUGACGCUGAGGUGCGAAAGCGUGGGGAGCAAACAGG